AACAGACUCUUCUAUUGGCUCCAGUUAGACCAACAUUGAUGCUUCAUAUGUUUGAUUCUAUGCAAACUCAGUGAGCUUCCUUGUUACUCAGCUAUAAAAACAUCCCAUCAGGCUGUCAGUGGAGUUCACAGCACGUCAGUUUCAACAUAAACCAUGUUCUCUGUAGCUCUGCUGCUGCUGUUGGCAGCUGGAUGUGUGAAGUGUGAACAGUUGACACAGCCAGCCUCUGUGACUGUGCAGCCAGGUCAACGUCUGACCAUCACCUGUCAGGUCUCUUAUUCUCUUGGCUACUACACAGCUUGGAUCAGACAGCCUGCAGGGAAAGGACUGGAGUGGAUUGGGAGCAAAUAUACUGGAGCUUCAUACUACAAAGAUUCACUGAAGAACAAGUUCAGUAUCAGCUUAGACUCUUCCAGCAACACAGUGACUCUAAACGGACAGAAUGUGCAGCCUGAAGACACUGCUGUGUAUUACUGUGCCAGAGAGCCACAGUGACACAAAGCAUCAGUAGACCUGAACAA